rnacentral:rRNA from 1 species
UACGAAGGGGGCUAGCGUUGUUCGGAAUUACUGGGCGUAAAGCGUGCGCAGGCGGUUUUCCAAGUCAGGGGUGAAAGCCCGGAGCUCAACUCCGGAACUGCCAUUGAAACUGUGAAACUAGAGUACGAGAGAGGUGAGUGGAAUUCCCAGUGUAGAGGUGAAAUUCGUAGAUAUUGGGAAGAACACCGGUGGCGAAGGCGGCUCACUGGCUCGUUACUGACGCUCAGGCACGACAGCGUGGGGAUCAAACAGG